CAGAGCGCGGCUUCACUACGGCGUACUUCUGGGUUGAAGUGGAAACGCGGGGCGCGAUGUGAAAGGUUCCGCGUUGCUUUGGUUCCAUGUCAGGGGGGAAAAGGUAGGGUAUGUAAAUAAAUAUAAAACCAUAGCAGGGCUGUUCUGGCUUGGUCAUUUACACAGAAUGGAAGAGGUAGCCGCUAGGCAAACCAACUUUAUUGUUGUUUAGUCGUUUAGUCGUGUCCACCUCUUCGUGACCCCCUGGACCAGAGCACGCCAGGCCCUCCUGUCUUCCACUGCCUCCCGCAGUUUGGUCAAACUCAUGCUGAUCGCUUCGAGAACACUGUCCAACCAUCUCGUCCUCUGUCGUCCCCUUCUCCUUGUGCCCUCCAUCUUUCCCAACAUCAGGGUCUUUUCCAGGGAGUCUUCUCUUCUCAUGAGGUGGCCAAAGUCUUGGAGCCUCAGCUUCAGGAUCUGUCCUUCCAGUGAGCGCUCAGGGCUGAUUUCCGUAAGAAUGGAUAGGUUUGAUCUUCUUGCAGUCCAUGGGACUCUCAAGAGUCUCCUCCAGCACCAUGGCAAACCAACUAUGCAUUACAAAUAUGUCUACAAGCAUGACACGAAUGUUGGCAACAGCGACCCCUCCUGUGCUACUCUCUUGCAGACGACAGCAGUGCCUGGAGACAGGCGGUCAAGUCGUGUAUCCACGGUAGUGACCAAAGGAGGAAUGACCGCUGGGAGGAGCGCAGUGAAGAAGAAAUGCCAUGCUGCAUCAGCGCCAGCACAACCAGAUACCUUCAUCUGCCCAGCUAAGUCAGAAACGAGGAGACAAGUCCUGUCCUCAGGUUUGAAAACUAAAUAAGACACCCGGCAGAAGGGAUAUUGAGGAAGAAAGUAGAGGAAGAAUAACUUUCAACAAUGCCCAAAGGCUUGAGAUGUCCAUAGGCAACCGUGUCUUGUAUUUAGAGAGCUGCAGCAACUGUCCCAGCAGCCCUUCAUCCGAGCAAGUGGUGACUGGAACCUCUUUGUUUACUCUGGCACACAUGAUGAACUCAGUUGGAACAGCUGCUGUGGGACAGAACUGCCCCCUCUCUCUGCUUUGUCACAUUGCAAUUUCCACGAUUCUCUGGGACAUUGUUUUGUGGGGUCUUAGGAAAAGCCACAGAGGCCUGUUUUUGUCUCUUUUUUUGGUUAGCCUAAUUGAUGCCAUUUUGCUUCUGUAAAAAACUGCCUGCUUUGGAAUUUAGGAGGAUGAGCCACAAAUAUGUGAAAACCAGAUAACGUUGCUAGGCGAUUGCACCUCCCUCUGCCAGGCAACUCUCCCCUUCAAGUGUGUCCUGUUUUGAUCAGCACAAGGAACCUCGAAAGGGGGAAUGCCUAUAAAAAGUAUGAACAAAGGCUAUUUGGGGCGAUUUCACCAUCACACUGGUGAGUGUGCCUCUCCUGCUCUGUUUUACUCAGCUGAAUAAACGAGUGAUUAUGGGAA